GGGGAAUCUUAGACAAUGGGCGCAAGCCUGAUCUAGCCAUGCCGCGUGAGCGAUGAAGGCCUUAGGGUUGUAAAGCUCUUUCAGUGGGGAAGAUAAUGACUGUACCCACAGAAGAAGCCCCGGCUAACUCCGUGCCAGCAGCCGCGGUAAUACGGAGGGGGCUAGCGUUGUUCGGAAUUACUGGGCGUAAAGCGCACGUAGGCGGACCAGAAAGUUGGGGGUGAAAUCCCGGGGCUCAACCUCGGAACUGCCUUCAAAACUCCUGGUCUUGAGGUCGAGAGAGGUGAGUGGAAUUCCGAGUGUAGAGGUGAAAUUCGUAGAUAUUCGGAGGAACACCAGUGGCGAAGGCGGCUCACUGGCUCGAUACUGACGCUGAGGUGCGAAAGCGUGGGGAGCAAAC
rnacentral:rRNA from 1 species